GUCCCCUGCGAGACAGGUGGAGGUGGAGGAGGGAAUGUCUCCCGGCUCCACCCACACUUAGGCCCGCCCACUUCCGAGGAGUCCGCACAGACAGUUGCAGCUUUUGAUCUCUGGCCUCUGGUUUGAGAGAGGAAAUCUCAGAGGUAAAGGAUCUAAGAGCUAAGCGCGGCCCCUUUCCGGAUGGAACCGGUCCACUCCGGCCACUCCUCUCUCUCCCAUUCCGUCCUCCUCGUUCAGACAGAGGGGUUCCUUCUGACAGAAUCAAGAGGUAGCAUCCUCAUCGGGUGUGGUAGCGCACGCCCUCGAUCCCAGCACUCAUGGAGGCAGAGGCAGGCAGAUGGUCGUGUGUUCGAGCCAGCCUGGUCUACAAAGCGAGUCCAGGACAGCCAGGGCUAUUGCACAGAAAACCCCCAUCAGGGGGGAAGAAUUAAAGUAGUAUCCAUGAGCGCCCACUGGGCUUCCGUUUACUAUGUGUCCGGGCAUUUGCCACUAUACCCGGCUGUGGGUCAUGAAGUUAACCUAGGUGGAGGCCCCUUCCCCAACUUCUUGAACUCAUAAACACACACUGUUAGAACCGGAGACGUAGCUUUGCUACAGAGCGCGCGCCCUUGCAUACCAUGAGGAAUGUCCUGGAUUCAGUCUCCAGGACCGCGCUUACACAGGACAGACUCCCUGACAGAGGCUUCAGAUCUGUCUGUCUGCGUCUAGACACACCGGCCUCAAACGGAGGGAGAUGCGCCUGCCUGUGCUUCCUAAGUGCUGGGAUUAAAGAAGCCUGCCUGCUUUGAACCUAAGUCUGUUUAUGCGGGCGCUCUCCGAGGCCAAAAGAAAGCAUCACAUACCUCACAGCUACAGCCAGAAUUACUAAUGGCUGUGAGCCACCUGACAUGGUUUCUGAAAAUGGAACUUAGGGCCACUGAGAGUGAAGCCAACACCCCUGGUUCUUUAGUGUGUGUUUGUGUGUGUGUUUCUGAGACAGGGCUUCUCUGUGUAGCCCUGGCUGUCCUGGAGCUUGCUCUGUAGACCAGGCUUGCCUCAAUCUCAGAGAUCCACAGGCUUCUGCCUCCCAAGUGCUGGAUCAAAGGUGUGUGGCACCACCACUCAACAUGUGUGUGUGUGUUUUAUUUUUGUGAAUGUGAGUGUGAAUGUGAGUGUGAGAGUGUGUGUGUGUGUGUGCGAGUUCCCACAAGAACAAAAGGAGAGCUUCAGACUUCCAGGAGCUAGAGUUACAGGUGAGCUGCCCAACGAGGGCUCUGGGAAACAAACUCUGGUCCCUACCCAGCCAUGUCUUAAUCACUUAGCUGUCUCUCCAGCCCUUAGGGUUUUCGUUUUUGUUUUCUGAGGCUGGGUUUCCCUAUGGAGCUCGGGCAGGUCUUGAUCUUUUACUAUGAGUCCAAGGACAGCCUCAAACUAUCUUGCCUCAGUCUCCUGAGUACUAGGAUUAUAGUGCCCCAGUUGGGAAAUUUUGUGACGCUUAGCAAGAUGUCUGCUUCUGACACCCACGUUUUUGCUUCCAUCCUUGAAUGCUUUCCUCUAUGCUUAUAAGCGGUCCCUCAAUCUCUGCAGGGAAUUUUUUUGGAGCACUAUCUAUCCAGAUAUUAAAAUUGUGAAUGCACAAGUCUCAUAUAAACAGGUAUGUUUGCAUAAAACCUAUACAUACCCUCCCUGUACUUUAGAUCAUCUCUGGGUAUUUUUUUGUUUUUAUUAUUAUGUUUUAGUUUUUUGUUUUUUUGUGUUUUUUUGUAUGGGAGUUUUGCUUGCAUGCAUGUUUGUGCACCAUGCACAUGGCUGGUGCCCACUGAGGCCAGAAGAGGGCAUCAGAUGAGCUAGGAUCGGAGUCACAGACUGACUUUGAACUGCCAUGUGACCACUAAAAAUAGAGUCUGGGUCCAAAGCUGGUGUGGUAAUACAUGCCUUUAACCCCAGCUCUCGGGAGGCUGAAGCAGGCAGAUCUCUGAGUUUGGGGUCAGCCUGGUCUGCAGAGUGAGUUCCAAGGCAGCCAGGGCUACACAGAGAAACCCUGUCUCCAAACACACACACAGAAAUUGUCCUUUGAGUUUAAGAACAAAAACAAACAAACAAACAAACAAAAAACAGAACAAAAACACUCACACCCUGUCUUUCUCCAAACAGAUAUCAGCAGGCUACUCAAUGCUCAGGUAAAAACUCCUCAGGGGAAUUCCACCAACCCCAAGAAUUGGGGAUGAAACCUAGGGCCUCAUCCACUCUAGUCAAGUGUUCUACCACUGCGCUAAAGCCCUACCUACAAGUGAGUCCUAGAAGCAUCCUUGAGGGCCCCUCUCUACCGUACCCCAGUCCUGAACAUCAGGACUCACAUCUGUCUUCUCACUUCCAACAGCCCCAUACUCAGCCUGCCCCACAAAAUAAAAGUCAUAGUUCUUAUGAGCCCUUUGAAACUGCCCUUCCCCUAACCUUCUUACUAGUCAGUAAGCUCCUUAAGAGUAGAGAUCUCCCUUUGUUUCGUUCACUCUUUUUUUUUAAUAAUUUACUUAAUUUUAUUUUAUGUGCAUUAGUAUGAAUGUGUCUGAUCCCUUAGAAAUGGACAGUUGUGAGCUGCCAUGUGGAUGCUGGGAAUUGAACCCAGGUCCUUUGGAAGAGCAGGCAGUGCUCUUAACCACUGAGCCAUCUCUCCAGCCCCUUUGCUCACUCUUGUAGCCAAAGCAUCAAGAUGUUUAGUAAUUGUUCUGGAGUAAUUGUUAUGGAGCAGGGAUGUACUUCAUUGAUAAAGUGCUUGCCUAGAAUCCACCAACUGUGCUGGGAGCACAGUUCAGCCAUAGAGUAUUUGCCUAGCAAGCCCGAAGGCCCUGGAUUCCAUCCCCAGUAUGACAAAAAUAAAUAUAUACAUUUUAAAAAUAAUUAAUUAAAAAAGAAUAAUUGCUACAUGCAAUGCAUAUGUCAAAACAGCUUUAUCCAUAUUUCUUAAAAAUGUCUUUCACUUGGUGGGGCAUGGGAACACAUGCUUGUAAUCCCAAAACUUGGGGAGGUAGAGGGAAACAGAUCUUGAGGCCAGCCUGGUCUACAAAGCCAGUCCAGGACAGCCAAGGCUACCCAGAGAAACCCUGUCUCGUAAAAACCAACAACAAAAAAAAAGUUUUUUUUUAAAAGUCAUUUAAUGAAGCUCCUCUCUCCACCUCAACUUAACUCCGCCUUUUUCUCCUGUCCCAAUUAACACAUUAAUUAGCACUCACAUACUGCUUACUGUAUGAUACCUAGCUGUGUGCUGUUUUCAAAACCUGAUUCACUUGAGCUACAUAAUAACCUCAUGAGCUCAGUGCUAAUUGUUCCCACUUAAAGAUGAAAAAUACGAGACACAGAAACAUCACGAGGGUUCUGGGAGUCCAGCACAGACCAUGACCUGGCCCUAAUUAAUCACAGUGCUAGCUGGGCACAGUCACUCAGGCCUGUCAUUCCAGCUACCCCCGAGGCUGAGGCAGAAGGAUCAAAAGUUCAAGGCCAAGGGGUGCACAUUUGAUUCCUAGCACCCACGUGACAGCUCACAGAGAAUUCCAUGCCCUCUUCUGGCCUUCGAAGGCACAGCAGAUAUAUGCGACGCCAACAUACUUGGUGGCAAAACAUCCAUACAAAUAAAAUAAAAAAAAAAUUAAAAAAAAUUAAGAUUAAGGCCAGCCAGCAUUACACAUGAAGUUCAAGGCAAACACGAGCACCUUAGGAAGACUCAAAAAUUUAAAAAGGAGUUGGAAAGCUGGGCAAGAUGGCCCGUGCCUGUAACCCUAGCACUUGGGAGAUGCAGUCAAGUCGCCCUCCGCUAUACAGUGAGUUCAAAGUGGGCCUGGGUUCCAAGAGGCGCUGUCUCAAGUUCUCCAGGCCCCACAACAGUGAGUGAGAGGCAGUUCAGCGGUAGAGAGCUUGUCUGGCAUGCUUGAGGAGCUAGAUUCAGGCGAAGAACAAGGGAAGCCUCCCCACAGGCCCUUAACCCCGCCUCAAGGCAAAAGCCAACAGCUUCAGUGGCAUCCGGGCCAGGACUAUAGGCAGAUACCUAACCACACCCCUGCAGAUCAGCCCCGCCCGCCUCCGCCCCGCCCUCUCCAGGCCACGCCCCCAGAUCGCCAUAGCCAAGAAUUCUUAACUCCACCCCCGCUCCAGCCCCGCCCUGCCGUCGCCAGGCCACGCCCACCUUCCUGCAAGCUGAGGCUCCUGGCCGCAGGGACUCCGGUAGCCCAGACCGGCCUUGAAAACCUUGAGCUCACAGAGAUCCACCUUCAAGUGCUGGGGUUAAAGGCAUAAGAAAAAAUAUGUCAACCCCAAUAUCCAUGUUCCUAUUGUAAAGACCAGGUGGGGGCUUUAAGAACUGCACAGCAAGCCUAGGGAAUUUAAGCCAGUGGUAGAGCGCUUGCCUAGCACGCAUGAGGUUCCGGGUUCUGUUCCCAACACACAACUCAACAAGCCAAAACACUUAUAUAAAAUAUAAAAUAUUCCACUUGAUGGCAGUUGAUUUUUCAGAACAAGAGAAUGCUUCUAAGAAAGGGAGGCACCCUUAAGCCAUGCAGGAUGGGAGGACGGGGUCUUGCCCUCUGUGGGCUUGAGUAUGUGUGAGACUGCUGUUGUGAGUUUUUAACUCCAAGACAUGCAUAACUCCCCCGGGAAAGGGAAUCCGGUGACGGGGUGGGGGUGGGUGCGUGGGCACUGAAUGGUGAGCACAGCAGAAGUGGCAUUCCUGGUAUUUACUGGCCCCGGCUCCGAAACACACUGGAGGGUUCACGUCUGCUUCUCGGAAGGGGAAGCAAGAGAUCUGGUUCUGUCUAGGAAACCACAAGAUGCCGUGUACUUCUGGGCCUAUUGCUGCACGACCUGCGACCGGAGCAAGCAGGGAUGAACGAGGGCAAGUGAAAGGCAUUGAGACCAGCCAGAACCAGUGCCCAUCACAGAGCUUGGAGAAGGAAAACAGAUGCCCCACUGCUGUAGCCUGAAGGGACGAGGGCAGCUUCCACAGAUUGAAAUCAGGUCACCAGGCUUGGCAGCAGGCACCGGUACCCACUGAGCCAUCUGGAUGGCCCCUCUGCUGGGUUGUAUCAUCAUCAUCAUCAUCAAUACUGAGGAUCGAACCCAGGGUCAGCGCAUACUCUACCACUUACAGGUGGAGAUGCUGAGGCCCAGAGAAGACAGGACAUGCCCUCUUGCCACCCUGGCCUGCGGACACCCACCUCAGCGCUGCGGCUCCUGGCCUCCAUAGCUCUGCAGAGAGUCACCUGGGGCUCAGUCUCCAGUUUCCUCUCCUUCUGCUGUAGGACCAGCUUCAGCUCCUCAUGGAGCAGCUGCCGCUGAGCCUGGGGGUACAAGAUGGAGGCGUGAGGCACAGAGGGAUUGUGGGGUAGAGGUUGGGCUUGCCAGAGAAAUCGGAGCAGGGAUGCCACAUGUGGACAGCGAGUAGGGCCCCUCACCGCUUCCUGGGUAAGGGUCUUUUCUCCUGACAGGAGGCCCCCACGGGGUGAUACGCAGCCGUAAGCAGGGAUCUCACUCUUCCGCUGAGGUCUUGCUGCCUGUCAAGGAGAGACAAAGGACCGUGGGACACCAGACAGGCCCGGGAAGACAAAGAAGGGUAUGUGGUACCAGUUGGCACUCACCUGAGCGUCACCUCCGACACGCUGGGCCUCCUGGGUCGGGGGCUCUAGGAAAACAACAAACAUAGCAACGUGACCUCAUAUCCCCUGGCAGCGCCCUGAGAGCCCGACCCUGUGCUCAUUCUGGUGAUCCUUCCUCCUCAAGUGCCAUAGUUAUUUCCAGGCCAGCCUGGGGUAUGUGGUGUCUCAAAGCCUGAAUGCAGAGCCAGGCAGUACAUACUUGGAAUCCCAUCGUGUCUGAUUUAUUCCCCGGAGAGGCAGUCCCAGGACUUUGUGCAGGCAAGGCCCCCGUUCUACUAGCUGAGCUGCAUUCCCAGCCCUUGCUUUGAGUUUUGAGACAGGGCCUCCUCCAUACGUGUUAGCUGAAGAUGACCUUGAUCCUCCCAUUUCAGCCUCCCAAAUGCUGGGGUUACAGGCCUGUGUUACAAUUUGGAGUUUCCCGGACCCCUGCUUUACUUCUGAAAAUGCACCCUUUGAGAGGCCAAGCAAGCCUGUGCCCGUGUGGGGCACACAACCCAAGAGAAAGGCCCACGGAAGGCAGCCUCCAGCCAGGCCCAUCUGGAGACACGGAGGAGGAGACCGUCUCUGCACUCGGCCCCCACCUGGCAUGCCAGCCCGCCAACCCUGCCACGCAGGAAAAGGUCAGGCGCAUGCGGCACAUUCCCUCACACAAUGGCCCGUCUGCUCUGCCAGCCACAUUCUGCCCCUGCCCACCCACCCACCCACCCACCGCCAUACAAUGGGCCUUCAUAGCUCCCCGCAGGGGCAGGGGAGCUCAGUUGGUACAGGGCUUGUUGAGCAUGCACAAAGGCCCUGAGUUCAGUUCCCCAGCGCCGCAUAAACCCGGCAUGGUGAGCGCACAACAUAAUCGCAACACUCCUCAGGUAGAGGCGGAAGGAUCAAAAAUUCAGUGUCAUCCUUAGCUCCCUAGGCUGGCUACAUGAAACAGGGUUUCAAGAACAACAAAUUUAGCCCAUGA